GCCAGCAGCCAUAUCACCCAGCAAUUUACAACUGGCAGCCCACUGAAGCUAAGCACGUGUGAGCCUGGUCAGUACCUGGAUGGGAGACCUCCUGGGAAAAACUAAGGCUGCUGCUGGAA
rnacentral:rRNA from 1 species